rnacentral:lncRNA from 1 species
UGGGGUAUUGAGUCAUUGUGUGGUAUUGAGUCAUUAUGGGGUAUUGAGUCAUUGUGGGGUAUUGAGUCAUUGUGGGGUAUUGAGUCAUUGUGGGGUAUGGAGUCAUUGUGGGGUAUUGAGUCGUUGUGGGGUAUUGAGUCAUUGUGGGGUAUUGGGGUAUUGAGUCAUUGUGGGGUAUUGAGUCAUUGUGGGGUAUGGAGUCAUUGUGGGGUAUUGGGUCAUUGUGGGGUAUUGGGUCAUUGUGGGGUAUUGGGGUAUUGUGUCAUUGUGGGGUAUGGAGUCAUUGUGGGGUAUGGAGUCAUUGUGGGGUAUGGAGUCAUUGUGGGGUAUGGAGUCAUUGU